AACAGUAAAUAAAAGAUGUCAAAUGGUCAAAAGUGAAUCCUGAUAGAGUCAUAUACAUUAGAGAGAGGUAUAUAUAUCCUGAUAGAGUCAUAUACAUUAGAGAGAGGUAUAUAUAUCCUGAUAGAGUCAUACACAUUAGAGAGAGGUAUAUAUAUCCUGAUAGAGCCAUAUACAUGAAAGACAGGUGUUUUGCUACAGAUGUAGGAUCUUAAUUUGAGACAGUUUACUGAAGCAGAAAAAUUAUGUGGAUUAUAAUUAACAUUUUAAAGUGUAAAGUGGAAAUGACAAACUUCAGAAGCCUUUUAAAACAUCAAAUACACUACAAGUUUUAGUUUUCCUGCAACAGGGUGAUCAAAAUCAGAUCCUACAUCUGUACAGAGAUGAUGUCUUUAUCUGAAAAAUGAAGUUUGAGUUAUUAGCAAUGAAGUUGCAACUGUCAGCUGCUGUAAACCUAAGUGACUGGAUGUUAUAGACCCCAAUCUGAACAGUUUCUUCCCGUGGUUAUAGCCUUUAGCUCUAUGCUCACUCUACCUAGUUCAAUAUAUUGUUGUACGUAAACUUUGUGCAAACUCCACCGCCUGUAUUCUGUCUCUUAAUGUUUUCUUUCACAAGCAGCACCAUGUCACCAUGUUAAAUAAUGUGUACAGAUGUAGGAUCUUUCCAACUCUGAGGACAUGUCAUUGUGAUGUCAUUUAUUACAUUUCAACCUGUUGAUAAAGGCAACUAGAAGGCUGAACCCAGAAGACAACUCUAAAUCAACACUUACUGAUAUUAUCCUAAAAUCCUUUCACUCGUAUUAUUGUGUCUCUUUGUUCAACGAAUGUCUGGCAGCCUGUGAUGUUAAUAUAGUUGAAAACAGCAGGCAGGGAGGUCAACACCCUACAGGCAGCCUGUGCUGUUAAUAUAGUUGAAAACAGCAGGCAGGGAGGUCAACACCCUACAGGCAGCCUGUGAUGUUAAUAUAGUUGAAAACAGCAGGCAGGGAGGUCAACACCCUACAGGCAGCCUGUGCUGUUAAUAUAGUUGAAAACAGCAGGCAGGGAGGUCAACACCCUACAGGCAGCCUGUGAUGUUAAUAUAGUUGAAAACAGCAGGCAGGGAGGUCAACACCCUACAGGCAGCCUGUGAUGUUAAUAUAGUUGAAAACAGCAGGCAGGGAGGUCAACACCCUACAGGCAGCCUGUGAUGUUAAUAUAGUUGAAAACAGCAGGCAGGGAGGUCAACACCCUACAGGCAGCCUGUGAUGUUAAUAUAGUUGAAAACAGCAGGCAGGGAGGUCAACACCCUACAGGCAGCCUGUGAUGUUAAUAUAGUUGAAAACAGCAGGCAGGGAGGUCAACACCCUACAGGCAGCCUGUGAUGUUAAUAUAGUUGAAAACAGCAGACAGGGAGGUCAACACCCUACAGGCAGCCUGUGCUGUUAAUAUAGUUGAAAACAGCAGACAGGGAGGUCAACACCCUACAGGCAGCCUGUGCUGUUAAUAUAGUUGAAAACAGCAGGCAGGGAGGUCAACACCCUACAGGCAGCCUGUGCUGUUAAUAUAGUUGAAAACAGCAGGCAGGGAGGUCAACACCCUACAGGCAGCCUGUGCUGUUAAUAUAGUUGAAAACAGCAGGCAGGGAGGUCAACACCCUACAGGCAGCCUGUGAUGUUAAUAUAGUUGAAAACAGCAGGCAGGGAGGUCAACACCCUACAGGCAGCCUGUGAUGUUAAUAUAGUUGAAAACAGCAGGCAGGGAGGUCAACACCCUACAGGCAGCCUGUGAUGUUAAUAUAGUUGAAAACAGCAGGCAGGGAGGUCAACACCCUACAGGCAGCCUGUGAUGUUAAUAUAGUUGAAAACAGCAGGCAGGGAGGUCAACACCCUACAGGCAGCCUGUGAUGUUAAUAUAGUUGAAAACAGCAGGCAGGGAGGUCAACACCCUACAGGCAGCCUGUGCUGUUAAUAUAGUUGAAAACAGCUGGCAGGGAGGUAAACACCCUACAGGCAGCCUGUGAUGUUAAUAUAGUUGAAAACAGCAGGCAGGGAGGUCAACACCCUACAGGCAGCCUGUGAUGUUAAUAUAGUUGAAAACAGCAGACAGGGAGGUCAACACCCUACAGGCAGCCUGUGCUGUUAAUAUAGUUGAAAACAGCAGACAGGGAGGUCAACACCCUACAGGCAGCCUGUGAUGUUAAUAUAGUUGAAAACAGCAGGCAGGGAGGUCAACACCCUACAGGCAGCCUGUGCUGUUAAUAUAGUUGAAAACAGCAGGCAGGGAGGUCAACACCCUACAGGCAGCCUGUGCUGUUAAUAUAGUUGAAAACAGCAGGCAGGGAGGUCAACACCCUACAGGCAGCCUGUGCUGUUAAUAUAGUUGAAAACAGCAGGCAGGGAGGUCAAAACCCUACAGGCAGCCUGUGAUGUUAAUAUAGUUGAAAACAGCAGACAGGGAGGUCAACACCCUACAGGCAGCCUGUGCUGUUAAUAUAGUUGAAAACAGCAGGCAGGGAGGUCAACACCCUACAGGCAGCCUGUGCUGUUAAUAUAGUUGAAAACAGCAGGCAGGGAGGUCAACACCCUACAGGCAGCCUGUGCUGUUAAUAUAGUUGAAAACAGCAGGCAGGGAGGUCAACACCCUACAGGCAGCCUGUGAUGUUAAUAUAGUUGAAAACAGCAGGCAGGGAGGUCAACACCCUACAGGCAGCCUGUGAUGUUAAUAUAGUUGAAAACAGCAGGCAGGGAGGUCAACACCCUACAGGCAGCCUGUGCUGUUAAUAUAGUUGAAAACAGCAGACAGGGAGGUCAACACCCUACGUAUUGCACCAAUAGGGUUAACCCACAUGGUGGGAAUUGUUACCUGGCUCACACAAAAGCAUGUCUCAGACAACACCUCUGACACCAAUGUAGCAAACAGCGGGGCAGGGAAGUGAACCCAGGUUGCAUGUGUUAAAGGUGAACAACCUACGCAUCGCACCACUGGCAUCAAUUGGGUAACUUGGUUGGAAUUGUGACGUGGCUCAUAUAGUGAGGAUCACUACACUAUAGAGGAACUAUGAUACAAUUACAUUAUCAUAUGAAAUGUAGAGGAUCACUACACUAUAGAGGAACUAUGACACAAUUACA